UUCCGGUUGAUCCUGCCGGACCCGACUGCUAUUUGGGUGAGAAUAAGCCAUGCGAGUUGAAUGGGAUACCUAAAGUUCCCAUAGCAAACUGCUCAGUAACACAUGAUCAACUUACCCUAUAGAGAAAAAUAACCUCGGGAAACUGAGGAUAAUAUUUCAUAAUUGAAUUGGCUUGGAAAAGUUUUUCAAUGAGAAGGAUAAAAAAAAUGGUUUUUAUCUGCUAUAGGAUAGGAUCGUGUUCGAUUAUGGUUGUUGGUGAGAUAAUGGCUCACCAAGCCGAUAAUCGAUAGGGGCCGUGAGAGCGGGAGCCCCGAGAUGGGUACUGAGACAACGACCCAGGCCUUACGAGGCGCAGCAGGCGCGGAACCUCCGCAAUACACGAAAGUGUGACGGGGUUACCCAAAGUGUUCAAUAGAACUGUGGUAGGUGAGUAAUGUUCCCUACUAGAAAGGAGAGGGCAAGGCUGGUGCCAGCCGCCGCGGUAAAACCAGCUCUUCAAGUGGUCGGGAUAAUUAUUGGGCUUAAAGUGUCCGUAGCCGGUUUAGCAAGUUCCUGGUAAAAUCAGGUAGCUUAACUAUCUGCAUGCUAGGAAUACUGCUAUACUAGAGGGCGGGAGAGGUCUGAGGUACUACAGGGGUAGGGGUGAAAUCUUAUAAUCCUUGUAGGACCACCAGUGGCGAAGGCGUCAGACUGGAACGCGCCUGACGGUGAGGGACGAAAGCCAGGGGAGCGAACCGGAUUAGAUACCCGGGUAGUCCUGGCCGUAAACGAUGCAUACUAGGUGAUGGUACGGCCAUGAGCCGUAUCAGUGCCGUAGGGAAACCGUUAAGUGUGCCGCCUGGGAAGUACGGUCGCAAGGCUAAAACUUAAAGGAAUUGGCGGGGGAGCACCACAAGGGGUGAAGCCUGCGGUUCAAUUGGACUCAACGCCGGG
rnacentral:rRNA from 1 species